rnacentral:rRNA from 1 species
GUGGGGAAUUUUGGACAAUGGACGCAAGUCUGAUCCAGCCAUUCCGCGUGCAGGAUGAAGGCCCUCGGGUUGUAAACUGCUUUUGUACGGAACGAAAAGGCUUUUUCUAAUACAGAGAGCUCAUGACGGUACCGUAAGAAUAAGCACCGGCUAACUACGUGCCAGCAGCCGCGGUAAUACGUAGGGUGCAAGCGUUAAUCGGAAUUACUGGGCGUAAAGCGUGCGCAGGCGGUUAUGUAAGACAGGUGUGAAAUCCCCGGGCUUAACCUGGGAACUGCAUUUGUGACUGCAUAGCUAGAGUACGGUAGAGGGGGAUGGAAUUCCGCGUGUAGCAGUGACAUGCGUAGAUAUGCGGAGGAACACCGAUGGCGAAGGCAAUCCCCUGGACCUGUACUGACGCUCAUGCACGAAAGCGUGGGGAGCAAACAGGAUUAGAAACCCCGGUAGUCC